GCAAACUUGGUCAUUUAGAGGAAGUAAAAGUCGUAACAAGGUUUCCGUAGGUGAACCUGCGGAAGGAUCAUUAAUAAAUACUUGAUCUUUUCUGAUUAACCUUACCAGUGAAUAUAGUGUAUAACUUUUUGGUUAUAAUUGUUGGGUGCUCUUUUUAUCCGGAGUUGGGGGAUUGAUGGGGACUGUCUUAGGCUGUAACCGGCCAAGAUGGGAGUCAUCUCUAAUCAAACUGGGUGGGGAAGGGUAGCUGGCUAUUAUUUAACUUUUUUUAUGUUAGUGAUGUUAGUAAACAUAGUUUAGAUCUGAAAGUAGUGUAAAGAUAAUAUAUCUUAAAAAAACUUCUAACAAUGGAUCUCUUGGCUCUUACAUCGAUGAAGAACGCAGC
rnacentral:misc_RNA from 1 species